rnacentral:rRNA from 1 species
GUUAAAAGCUCGUAGUUGGAUUUCUGGCAGGAGUGACCGGUCACGCACUCUGUGCGUGAACUUGUGUUGUCUCUGGCCAUCCUUGGGGAGAUCCUGUUUGGCAUUAAGUUGUCGGGCAGGGGAUACCCAUCGUUUACUGUGAAAAAAUUAGAGUGUUUAAAGCAGGCUUAUGCCGUUGAAUAUAUUAGCAUGGAAUAAUAAGAUAGGACUUCGGAACUAUUUUGUUGGUUUGCGUUACGAAGUAAUGAUUAAAAGGGAUAGUUGGGGGUAUUCGUAUUCAGCUGUCAGAGGUGAAAUUCUUGGAUUUUCUGAAGACGAACUACUGCGAAAGCAUUUACCAAGGAUGUUUUCAUUAAUCAAGAACGAAAGUUAGGGGAUCGAAGAUGAUUAGAUACCAUCGUAGUCUUAACCAUAAACUAUGCCGACUCGGGAUCGGAGGUUGUUUUUUGACUCCUUCGGCACCGUAUGAGAAAUCAAAGUCUUUGGGUUCCGGGGGGGAGUAU